GUAGCUAAUACCGUAUACUCCAGUAAUGGGAAAGAUUUAUCGCUAUAAGAUUGGCCCGCGCAAGAUUAGCUUGUUGGUGAGGUAAAAGCUCACCAAGGCUUCGAUCUUUAGCUGGUUUGAGAGGACGAUCAGCCACACUGGGACUGAGACACGGCCCAGACUCCUACGGGAGGCAGCAGUAGGGAAUAUUGGACAAUGGGGGCAACCCUGAUCCAGCAAUGCAGCGUGAGUGACGAAGGCCUUAGGGUUGUAAAACUCUUUCAUCGGUGAGGAUAAUGACAGUAGCCGAAGAAGAAGGACCGGCUAAUUCCGUGCCAGCAGCCGCGGUAAUACGGAAGGUCCUAGCGUUGUUCGGAAUUACUGGGCGUAAAGCGCAUGUAGGCGGAACAGAAAGUUAGAAGUGAAAUCCCUGGGCUCAACCUAGGAAUUGCUUUUAAAACUUCUGUUCUGGAAUUCAGGAGAGGAAAAUGGAAUUUCCAGUGUAGAGGUGAAAUUCGUAGAUAUUGGAAGGAACACCAGUGGCGAAGGCGAUUUUCUGGACUGAUAUUGACGCUGAGAUGCGAAGGCAUGGGUAGCAAACGGGAUUAGAUACCCCGGUAGUCCAUGCAGUAAACGAUGGGUGCUAGUCGUCGGACUUUUGUUCGGUGUCGUAGCUAACGCGUUAAGCACCCCGCCUGGGGAGUACGGUCGCAAGAUUAAAACUCAAAUAAAUUGACGGGGACCCGCACAAGCAGUGGAGCAUGUGGUUUAAUUCGACGCAACGCGAAGAACCUUACCAGCGUUUGACAUGGAAAGUGCCGGUUACAGAAUGGUAACCUUCAGUUCGGCUGGCUUUCGCACAGGUGCUGCAUGGCUGUCGUCAGCUCGUGUCGUGAGAUGU
rnacentral:rRNA from 1 species